rnacentral:pre_miRNA from 1 species
AAUGUGUCUGUUAGUGAGUGUGUGUGUGUCUGUUAGUGUGUGUGUCUGCACACACUAAGAGUCACACACACUAACAGACACACACACACUCACUAAUAGACACA